AGCACUGCUUUUUUUCCGCUGGACUUUCAGACCGGGGAAGUUCACUUGAGUCAGGCAACCUGACACGAAGUGCUCCUGGGAGACAAAACUCAGGGGAAAAUGUUCCACGAGCGUCCAGUCAGGAAGUGUUGAAAGCGUCAGAGCAAGGCACAACUGUGCUUUGUUUUCGCAUAACGACAAGACAGCACACUGUUACAUCUGCCAGCCCUGAAGUCAGCUGAAAUCCCACAAUGCCCCUAUUUCGGGCUUUGGCUGAACGUGGUGGGGCGAAGGCUAGACCUGGGCGCAGGAGGCAGAGAACAGGAGACUGCUGGAGGACAGAUGAAGAUGGUCCGGUCCUUUCACUGAGGCAGCUGUCUCUGCUAAGCCUUGCUGACAACAUGAAAAAAGUGUGGGUGAAAGACUAUACCGAUAACUACCUGGAUCAAUAUUCAUUCAGAUACAUCAUGGGGCCUUUCAACUUACUCACCAGUGAACUGGUUGAGGAGCUGACAUGCCUGCUGUGCAGCAGAAAGAAGUUGUCCAGGGCAGCCCUCCACCUCCUAUUGGUUCCC